GUCCAUAUGUUUAAUUAGCUUUAUAUGGUCUGGCCUGCUCACUGAUAUUUAAAUUAAAGAGCCGCGGUAUUUUGACCGUGCGAAGGUAGCAUAAUAAUUAGUCUCCUAAUUAGAGGCUUGUAUGAAUGGUCGGACAAGAUGGAAUCUGUCUCAACACAAUAAAUAAAAUUUAAUAACUAAGUAAAAAAGCUUAGAUAAAAUGGAGGGACGAUAAGACCCUAUAAAGCUUUAUGGUAUUUUUCUUUCUUAUAAAUUGUAUUGUUAUUAACUUAUUUUAGAAUUUUUAUCAUUUUACUGGGGCGGUAAAAGUAUAAUUAGAUUAACUGCUUUUGUUUUAAAUAACAAUUUUAGUUGGAAAUAAAUUGAUCCCAUUAUUAAUGAUCAUAAGAACCAAGUUACUUUAGGGAUAACACGCGUAAUUUUUUUUGAGAGUUCUCAUCGAAAAAAAAGUUUGCGACCUCGAUGUUGAAUUAAGGUUACCUUAAGGUGCAGCAGUUUAAAGGUAGAUCUGUCGAUUUAAUCCU
rnacentral:rRNA from 1 species